rnacentral:rRNA from 1 species
AGUGGGGGAUAUUGCGCAAUGGGGGGAACCCUGACGCAGCGACGCCGCGUGAAGGAAGAAGGCUUUCGGGUCGUAAACUUCUAUGAAGCAGGAAGAAAAAAGACGGUACUGCUAGAUGAAGCCACGGCUAACUACGUGCCAGCAGCCGCGGUAAUACGUAGGUGGCGAGCGUUGUCCGGAAUUACUGGGUGUAAAGGGUGUGUAGGCGGGUAGGCAAGUCAGAUGUGAAAUACCAUGGCUCAACCAAGGAGGUGCAUUUGAAACUGUCUAUCUUGAGUGCAGGAGAGGAAAGCGGAAUUCCUAGUGUAGCGGUGAAAUGCGUAGAGAUUAGGAGGAACACCAGUGGCGAAGGCGGCUUUCUGGACUGUAACUGACGCUGAGGCACGAAAGCGUGGGGAGCGAACAGGAUUAGAUACCCUGGUAGUCCACGCUGUAAACGAUGGAUACUAGGUGUAGGGGGUACGACCCCUUCUGUGCCGGAGUUAACACAAUAAGUAUCCCACCUGGGGAGUACGACCGCAAGGUUG